rnacentral:snoRNA from 1 species
CAAAAGGCUACCAUGCAAUCUCCAACUGCAUGCAAGAGAACCUGAAGAGACUUCGAUAACUCAAGUCACCACAAUGCCUAUAGCUCUCACUUGCCUUUCCUAUAAUG